ensembl:lncRNA
UGAGAUUUGUAUUGAUAAGAGGUGAAAGGCUGAAAAUUCUGCUUAAAAUAGGUGAAUCAGCAGAAUUUCUACUGAAAAGAGGUAAAGAAGUAGAACAUUGCACUGAAAACAGGUGAAUCAGCAGAAUGUCUGCUAAAAAAGAGAUUUCUGUUGAAAACACCUGAAAAAGCUGGAAUUUGUGCUGAAAAGGGGUGAAAAAACUCACAAUUCUGCUGAAACGGGGUGAAGAAGAGAUGUUGGGCUCUUGAGAAGAGUUAAAUAAGUUGAACUGAUAUGUUUGGGUACAAAUACAAUGAUUUGGCAAUAAUACUGCGUUUUAGCACAAC